GGGCGGUUAGCUCAGUGGGAGAGCGCUUCCUUGACACGGAAGAGGUCAGUGGUUCAAUCCCACUACCGCCC
rnacentral:tRNA from 1 species